GACGAACGCUGGCGGCGUGCUUAACACAUGCAAGUCGAACGGAAAGGCCCUGCUUUUGUGGGGUGCUCGAGUGGCGAACGGGUGAGUAACACGUGAGUAACCUGCCCUUGACUUUGGGAUAACUUCAGGAAACUGGGGCUAAUACCGGAUAGGAGCUCCUGCUGCAUGGUGGGGGUUGGAAAGUUUCGGCGGUUGGGGAUGGACUCGCGGCUUAUCAGCUUGUUGGUGGGGUAGUGGCUUACCAAGGCUUUGACGGGUAGCCGGCCUGAGAGGGUGACCGGCCACAUUGGGACUGAGAUACGGCCCAGACUCCUACGGGAGGCAGCAGUGGGGAAUAUUGCACAAUGGGCGGAAGCCUGACGCAGCAACGCCGCGUGCGGGAUGACGGCCUUCAGGUUGUAAACCGCUUUCGCCUGUGACGAAGCGUGAGUGACGGUAAUGGGUAAAGAAGCACCGGCUAACUACGUG
rnacentral:rRNA from 1 species